CCCGCUGAACUUAAGCAUAUCAAUAAGCGGAGGAAAAGAAACCAACAGGGAUUACCUCAGUAACGGCGAGUGAAGCGGUAACAGCUCAAAUUUGAAAUCUGGGUCUUUCAGGCUCCGAGUUGUAAUUUGUAGAAGAUGCUUUGGGUGCGGCCCCGGUCUAAGUUCCUUGGAACAGGACGUCAUAGAGGGUGAGAAUCCCGUAUGUGAUCGGUGGCUUGCGCCCGUGUAAAGCUCUUUCGACGAGUCGGGUUGUUUGGGAAUGCAGCUCUAAAUGGGUGGUAAAUUUCAUCUAAAGCUAAAUAUUGGCCAGAGACCGAUAGCGCACAAGUAGAGUGAUCGAAAGAUGAAAAGCACUUUGGAAAGAGAGUUAAACAGUACGUGAAAUUGUUGAAAGGGAAGCGCUUGCAACCAGACUUGCGCGGGGUUGAUCAUCCGGGGUUCUCCCCGGUGCACUCGGCCUCGCUCAGGCCAGCAUCGGUUUCGGUGGUUGGAUAAAGGCCUUGGGAAUGUGACUCCUCUCGGGGAGUGUUAUAGCCCUCGGUGCAAUGCAGCCUACCGGGACCGAGGACCGCGCUUCGGCUAGGAUGCUGGCGUAAUGGUUGUAAGCGGCCCGUCUUGAAACACGG
rnacentral:rRNA from 1 species